UAACUUCUGAGUAAAACCAUAAAUAAAUCAAAACUUUCAACAACGGAUCUCUUGGUUCUGGCAUCGAUGAAGAACGCAGCAAAAUGCGAUAAGUAAUGUGAAUUGCAGAAUUCAGUGAAUCAUCGAAUCUUUGAACGCACAUUGCGCCCGCCAGUAUU
rnacentral:rRNA from 1 species